GACGAACGCUGGCGGCGUGCUUAACACAUGCAAGUCGAACGGAAAGGCCCUGCUUUUGUGGGGUGCUCGAGUGGCGAACGGGUGAGUAACACGUGAGUAACCUUCCUUUGACUUUGGGAUAACUUCAGGAAACUGGGGCUAAUACCGGUUAGGAGCUCCUGCUGCAUGGUGGGGGUUGGAAAGUUUCGGCGGUUGGGGUUGGACUCGCGGCUUAUCAGCUUGUUGGUGGGGUAGUGGCUGACCAAGGCUUUGACGGGUAGCCGGCCUGAGAGGGUGACCGGCCACAAUAGGACUGAGAGACGGCCCAGACUCCAACGGGAGGCAGCAGUGGAGAAUAUUGCACAAUGAGCGGAAGCCUGAGACGGCGACGCUGCGUGCGGAAUGAAGGCCUGCGGGUUGUAAACCGCUUUCGCCUGUGACGAAGCGUGAGUGACGGUAAUGGGUGAAGAAGCACCGGCUAACUACGUG
rnacentral:rRNA from 1 species